AUCCAGCUGACAAGUCCCAUAUAGGACUUGACACGCGUCCUGGAU
rfam:Schistosoma rodhaini strain Burundi genome assembly, scaffold: SROB_scaffold0002876